AGGAUGUGGUCACCGGGAUCAGGGAGAGUCAAUAGCAACAGUAGCCAGCUCAGGUCCGAGAGACCACUAUGAACUGACGGCAGGUUCCCAGGCUGGGAGGGAAGCCUGGCCGAGUUCUCCAAAGGAGCAGACAGCUAGAGAAGGAGCUGUCAGCGCAGCUGUCUCCCAGCAGGGACCUGGACUUCCUCCAGCUGCACAAAACGGGAACAACAACUGUCACAUGCAAGCCUGAGCUGAGAUCCACAAGGAAGCACAGCCUGAGAUGGAUGGGAGAGGCAGGUGUGUCCGGAGGGAGGCGCUGCCUGGCAGACAAGGAUGCGGAGAGCCUUUGUCUUACUGUCAUGACUCCUAAGGCGUGUCGUUACCUGCUCCCACCAGCAGCAGUGGGCCUGGAACCCAGCAGCAAACACACCAUUCACUGGUGAUAUUUUUACUUUUUUUUAUGUCUGUUCCAUCUCCCAGGCUGCAGAGCCGAUCGACGUCUGUUGCUAUGGUAAACAAGAGAGGCUCAGGGAAGAAAUGGUUCACUCUGCCUCACAGGUCCGGGGGCACAGCCCAUCAUGGUGGGAAAGUCCAACAGGCAGGGGCUUGAGCCACUUGGCCACAUCACAUCCACAAUCAAGGACAGAGAUUCAUCAAAGCGAUUCUGGGUCCUCUGGAGUUCACACCCAACCCCAGCCUUCACACCUCCCUCGACCUGACACCCAAAUCCAUCAGUUUUAAGCCAUAACUUUUCACCUCUUCUCCCCAUUGGCUCAGAACCAUGUUGUAACACAACUUGCAUUUAGUCUAAUUUUAAAGUCCCUGUAGACUUUAACAAUGCUUUAUAAGUUUAAAAUCUC